CAAUAGCGUAUAUUAAAGUUGUUGCAGUUAGAACGCUCGUAGUCGGAUUUCGGGGCGGGCCGACCGGUCUGCCGAUGGGUAUGCACUGGUCGGCGCGUCCUUCCUUCCGGAGACCGUCCCUACUCUUAACUGAACGGGGGCGGGAGACGGGACUUUUACUUUGAAAAAAUCAGAGUGUUUCAAGCAGGCAGCUCGCUCUUGCAUGGAUUAGCAUGGGAUAAUGAAAUAGGACUUUGGUGCUAUUUUGUUGGUUUCGAACACCGAAGUAAUGAUGAGAAGGGACAGUCAGGGGCACUCGUAUUCCGCCGAGAGAGGUGAAAUUCUCAGACCAGCGGAAGACGAACCACUGCGAAAGCAUUUGCCAGGGAUGUUUUCACUG
rnacentral:rRNA from 1 species